GACGAACGCUGGCGGCGUGCCUAAUACAUGCAAGUAGAACGCUGAAGGAGGAGCUUGCUUCUCUGGAUGAGUUGCGAACGGGUGAGUAACGCGUAGGUAACCUGCCUGGUAGCGGGGGAUAACUAUUGGAAACGAUAGCUAAUACCGCAUAAUAGUAGAUGUUGCAUGACAUUUGCUUAAAAGGUGCAAUUGCAUCACUACCAGAUGGACCUGCGUUGUAUUAGCUAGUUGGUGGGGUAACGGCUCACCAAGGCGACGAUACAUAGCCGACCUGAGAGGGUGAUCGGCCAAACUGGGACUGAGACAAGGCCCAGAAUCCUACGGGAGGCAGCAGUAGGGAAUCUUCGGAAAUGGACGGAAGUCUGAACGAGCAACGCCGCGUGAGUGAAGAAGGUUUUCGGAUCGUAAAGCUCUGUUGUAAGAGAAGAAAGAGUGUGAGAGUGGAAAGUUCACACUGUGACGGUAUCUUAACAGAAAGGGACGGCUAACUACGUG
rnacentral:rRNA from 1 species